rnacentral:lncRNA from 1 species
AUCAAAAUCUCCUUUUACUUUGGGUCCUUUCAAAUCCAGGUCAACAUCAGGUAUGGAGAUCUUGGGAGCUUUGAUAUUUAUUUCAGGCAUCUUGAACUUGGGGCCCUUUAGUUUCGCAUCUGGACCUUCGAUAUUCACAUCAGGAACAUCAACGUCCACUUUGGGUCCUGAGACAUCAAUGUCAGCCUUGGGCAGGUUCACAUCCACAUCUGGGCCCUCUCCUUUGAAGCCAGGCAUGCUGAACUUGGGCAUUUUCACUUUGGGCAUUUUUAAGUGCCAGUCUGGGCCUUGAACGUCCACAUCUGGGACAUCAAUGUCCACUUUGGGUCCUGAGACAUCAAUGUCAGCCUUGGGCAGGUUCACAUCCACAUCUGGGCCCUCUCCUUUGAAGCCAGGCAUGCUGAACUUGGGCAUUUUCACCUUGGGCAUCUUCAGGUGCCAGUCUGGGCCUUGAACACCCACAUCUGGGGCAUUAAUAUCCACUUUGGGCCCCUUGAUGUCAACUUCGGGGCCCUUGAGGUCACCUUCCAC